rnacentral:rRNA from 16 species
GGAUGCGAUCAUACCAGCACUAAAGCACCGGAUCCUAUCAGAACUCCAAAGUUAAGCGUGCUUGGGCGAGAGUAGUACUAGGAUGGGUGACCUCCUGUGAAGUCCUCGUGUUGCAUUUC